GAGAGUCAAUGCACCUCAAAUGAAAAUAUUGAUAAACCUUGAAAAGUAGAGACUCCGAUCCCGGUUCCGAAUUUUCCGGUUCUGAGGAAGGAACGAUUUUCCAGUUCUUUUGAAAGAACCGUUCCGGGUUUUAGAAUCGGAUCCGUCUCGAGAGCCAUCAUACAAAAAUACCCGGGCCGUUGAUGUCUCUAUUAAGAAGUUGUAUGCUCGGAGAGCAAAAGUGAACCGAAGAAGCAGAACUCCUGG